GUCCGGGAGGAGGCGGUGACGCGGGAGGAGGGCUGGCGAAGCGGGGGCGGCCCCCGGAGAGGAAAAGGAGGCGGCGGUGGCCGCUGUGUGCUCGCUGGCGGUCCUGCGGGCAGGAGCCUCGGAAGGACCCUGGCUGAACUCUGCAGAACUGGCCGGGCGGGCCCGGAGCUCCUCGGUGCCCAGAGCGGGCCCGGCAUGACCGUGAUGCCAGUUUGGCCAGAGCCCCUCCGCCUCGGGGACGCAUGAACUUGGUGAAGGGGACAGGGCUCCGGACUAGACAGCACCCGAGCUGGCCGCUCCCGGCUGCAGUCUCCCUUUCGGAGUCUCUAUCCCGGGCUCAGAGGCGAGGAGACUCUCGGGCAGGUAGAGUGAAUCUGAAGCCAGUGGAUGAACAGACAGAAGCUAAAAGAUCCCCAAAAAGGAUGCGUGAGAGGGCCACACAGAACUGGAAUAUGGGCAGCUGGCUGCUGGCUCUUUGCCUGGCCUGGCUGUGGACCCGCCUGGCCUCGGCUUCCUCGCAGCUUCCAACUCCCACAGUCCUUGUGAAGCAGGGCACCUGUGAGGUGAUUGCCGCUCACCGCUGCUGUAACCGGAACCGCAUUGAGGAGCGCUCCCAGACCGUCAAAUGCUCUUGCUUUUCUGGCCAGGUGGCAGGCACCACCCGGGCAAAGCCCUCUUGCGUGGACGCCUCCAUCAUCCUGCAGAAGUGGUGGUGCCAGAUGGAGCCCUGCCUACCUGGGGAGGAGUGUAAAGUGCUCCCGGACCUGUCAGGAUGGAGCUGCAGCAGUGGACACAAAGUCAAAACCACCAAGGUUACACGAUAGCUCUUGGGGUCACAACCUGACAGCUUGCUUGAGCCACAAACUGGAGAAUGGCAGCCGGUUAUCAGCCAGCACAUAUGGAGAUUCAGUUCCCUGGGCCCACGCCCUGCGCCAAGUGCAGCAGCACUCUUUCCAAGGCCAUUGCUAUUAAUCUGCUCAACAGAGAGGGGACCUCAUAUCUCCAGGCUGAUCUCCAGCCACAUACCUGUGAGGCUGGGCUCUCCUGGACACAGAAGAAGGUCAAGAUACAAUUCCUGCCCUUAAGGGUUUCUCAGACCCAGGUUGGUAUGUACCAACCAGAGCCUGAGCCUUCUAGGCCCAGCCAAGAAGGUACAUGAUGGAGCAUCUUCUCUGAUGUGUUUCUGGAAGUGGGUCAGGAGGUGAACUCUGAAAAGCAGACUAAGACUAGCAAGGGCCAUAGAUGCAGCCCUGGACCCCUCAGAACUCUGAAAGCUGACAGACCAAAUGGCAGGAGCAGCAUAGCUGCCCCCCCCCCCCCCCAAGUCCCACUUUGCACCAUCCCUAAAGUGGUAGCCAGGGACUAAGCCAAAAAGCAUCGAUGGCAAAGAGGGUGGGAGAGCUGAUACUUUCUCCUGGGGAGUGUGACACACAGGGCAGUCCUCAAGGCUGGAGUGUGGAGCUUAGCUCCGAUCAGCACAGGGAGGUCGAUUUUUACCUUGCAGGGCACCCAGGCACUCCUGCGUGGCCGGCCAUCAGUCAAUGAGAUGUGCAAAUGCUGUUUUGUUUUCAGUUGCUGGUUUUUAAAGAUUAAGCUGCUUGCUAGUAAGCCGAUUGAACAUCAGCAGUCUUUCCAGGAAAAUCUUUUAAUUAAGUUUACAUAGCAAAAAUUGGUCGCCAUCGUAGACAGUAGUCAAUUAGAAGAUAUGAGAAGGAGAUGGAGCAGGAGGUCGAGUGGGGUCCUAGAGUGGGUGGGGGUUGUGUGUGUGUGUCUGUCUGUCUGUCUGUCUGUCUGUCUCAGGAUGGGAAGGGUCUGGCGGUGCCCCUCCUAAAGCCCUUGAGCCUGCAGGAGGAGGGCAGCUGGCAGCGAUGCCCGGAGAGCUAGCCCUCUGUAUCCCUCGGUGGAUGACCAGUGGAGCGCGGCAGGCCGGGAACGCUGUUUGCGAUUCCCAGCAGCGGGUUGGGUCCCAAGUGAGGACACUGCCUGGAGGGAGGUGGCCCGCGGAGAGGCGACUUCACUGCAGACGGCAAGAAGGCUCAGCCUCAAAGCCGAUUAGCGGGACUCGACGGGUCAGAGCGGGUCAUCCCCAGGGGGACUCUUCCCCCUAAGUUAGCCCCGCAAGGCAGGGGCUUCUGGUUUUUACCCUCGGCGCCCUCGGUGGGCGGCGUCCGCUUGCCGGGUUCCUGCCCCCACACCCCUGCGUCGGGUGGCUGGCGGCGGACUGCGGCGUCCUGCUCGUGUCCCGCCGAGUCAGAUCAACCCAGGUCUCGGGACGCGACGGCACAAUCCCGAGGCCUCAAGGACGCGCACUCGGAGUCGUCUGGGUCCAGCCCGCGUCCGCGCGCCGUCGCGGAAGAAGGCGGGGGAAACGGGCGCGUUUCCGCUGCGGCGUCUGACUGCCGGUUGGAUGCGCCUCGCAUCCCAACACUCAACGGCCUUGGCCUCGACACCCCCAGCUCCACACCGACGUGGGACACUGACGGACCUGGGCCACUCCGUCCCCGGCCCAGCAGAGCGGCCGACGGUGUUGUCUUGGAUUCCCCCAGCUGGCGGGCGCUGCGGCGCUGGAAAGUCUUGCGGCCGAAAGGCUCGGGGCCCUGCGGGUGCAAAUGGAGAAGUACGAAGCCUACAGACACUGCUGGUUCGAAUUGAAGCCCAACUAAAGGCAGCGCCUCCUUGUUUUUAAAAAGCAACUUUACAGAGGUAGAGUUUCUAUACAAUAAAAUGCACCCAUUGUAAGUGGACUUUUUGAUAAGGUUUGGCAUUUAUACCCGCCCCCCACCAUGAUCGGGAUACAGAACAUUUCCGUCUCCUCCAAAGUUCGCUUGUGCCCUGUCCCAGGCUACUCUCCCCGCCACACUCCCCCACCUUCCCCCACUGCCUCCCACAUCUGGGCUGGGGAGGUCACUGGACUGCUUUGUCACCACAUACUAUGUCUUUGUAUUUUCUAGAAUUUCAUAUACAUGGAAUCAUACAGUAUGAA